rnacentral:rRNA from 1 species
AUGGCCCCCAAGGCGGAGAAGAAGCCGGUGGCGGAGAAGGCCGAGAAGACGACGACAGCGAAGAAGACCAAGGCCGAGAAGCGGCCGCCGGCUUCCAAGGAGGGCGGUGAGAAGAAGGGGAAGAAGAAGUCCAAGAAGAGCGUGGAGACGUACAAGAUCUACAUCUUCAAGGUGCUGAAGCAGGUGCACCCGGACAUCGGCAUCUCCUCCAAGGCCAUGUCCAUCAUGAACUCCUUCAUCAACGACAUCUUCGAGAAGCUCGCCGGCGAGUCCGCCAAGCUGGCGCGCUACAACAAGAAGCCCACCAUCACGUCCCGGGAGAUCCAGACCUCCGUCCGCCUCGUCCUCCCUGGCGAGCUCGCCAAGCACGCCGUCUCCGAGGGCACCAAGGCAGUCACCAAGUUCACCUCCUCCUAG